rnacentral:hammerhead_ribozyme from 1 species
AUCCAGAUGACGAAUCUCAAAUAGGACGAAACGCGCGCCAACUUGGAU